ensembl:lncRNA PWRN4 Prader-Willi region non-protein coding RNA 4
AGGAUUUCCUUGAUGAUUUUUGGCUCUAUAUUCGUAAGGAAGCAAAUCCUAGGAACAAUCACGUGAGCUUGGAAGGAGACCUUUCCCCAGCUGAGCCUCAGCCUGGGCCAUCACCUGCAUCUGGACUGAAGACCCAAAGAAACUACUCCAUCAGGAAUUGUUUGAGACCAUGCAUUAUGUGGACACUCAUAUCGUGGAAUUAUAUUGCCAAUUGGCAUUCCUAAAGCUUCUACGCUAGCAGAACCUGCAGUCCAGUUAUCACAAAAAAAUGGAAAACAUGAAAGCUAGAAUUUUUGUAGGGAUUGUAUUGAAUCUGCAUAUACAUUUGGAAAGUAUAAGCAUCUUGGUUUGGAGUAAUUCACCAGUGAAGUCUUCUCAACCUGGGCAAUCAUGUGAGCUUGGAAGAUGAUGCAUCCCCAUCUCAUCUUUCAGGUGAAACCUCAGCCUUGGCCAUCACCUACAUCUGGAUUUCUGACCCAGAGAAACUGCUGGAGUACAGUGGCAUGAUUUCAGCUUACCGCAAACUCUGCCUCCUGGAUUCAAACCAUCCUCCGGCCUCAGCCUCCUGAGUAGCUGGGGCAACAGGUGUGAAGGCUGGUCUUAAACUCCUGACCUCAAGUGAUGGACCUGUCUUGGCUUCCAAAAGUGCUGGAAUUACAGGCAUGAGCCACCAUGCCCUGCUAUGAGGUCUUGUUCCUUUGGCCAGGCUGGAGUGCAGUGGCACAGUCAUCACUCACUGUAGCUUCAAACACCUGGGUUCCAGCAUUCAUCCCACUUCAGCCUCCCGUGUAGCCGGGACUACAGAUCCCUACCUUUUUUGUUGGAGAAUGAAAUUUAAAAUGAAGAUUUGGGCACUCAUUGGUUGUACACAUUGUUACUGGUGAACGUGUUGAUUGGAGGCCUUCCUAGCUAACAGAGCAAAGAGUAAAUAUACACAUAUGUUUACAAAUUUCUACAAGUCUCCAUAUGUAUCUGCAUUAAAUUAAACAUGAAUUCCUGCAGCGUCCUCAGUCCCACACGAUCUUAUUCAGCACCAUGUGAAUCUGUCUACCCAUCUCACUAAUCUAUAUGUAGCCUACCACUGUAAUAUUUAACCACCUGAAAAUGCAGGCAUAGUGGUUUCAGAAUAAGAAACACACAACCCCAUGAGAAACACCCUUACCACCUGUUUAUGUAUACCAACUGCUUAUGUAUAAAUCCUUUAGCCUUUAGACAGAAUCUGCACUUAUUAUGCAAGUUGCUUAGGAAGGCUUAUUUUUCCCCUUCCUUCAGUGGAUUAUUUCAUAGAUUUGUAUAAAGUAUUUUCUCUGCAUUUCUUCCUGGACUGUUCCUAUCUACUAAAUAAGUUAUUUUGUUAAUUUACAUACUUUUAGCUUCACUCUUUGUGUUAUAAAGUUUUCUGGGAGUUGAAAAACUGUACCUUUUAUCCACGUUACAGUAGCAUACAUAAUAAUAUACAAAGAGAAAUUUUCUAUCUUUACAGAUUUGUCUUUCCUUUUUGCUGAGACCCGGGUAACCAAUAAACUCUUUACUGUCUUUAUACU